rnacentral:misc_RNA from 1 species
GGAUCAUUAUUGAAUCCGUAAAAUGGAGAGUCGCUCCCGAGCACACAAAAACAUUCGGGAUCCCCAAACACCUGCGAAUCGUGCUGAGUUCGACCCAGUGGCACAAUUUUAUACACACACACUUUAUAGGUUUGAACGUAAAAAAACAAAAAACAAAAAUAUAACUUUUGACAACGGAUCUCUUGGUUCUCCCAUCGAUGAAGAACGCAGCGAAAUGCGAUAAGUAAUGUGAAUUGCAGAAUUCAGUGAAUCAUCGAAUCUUUGAACGCACCUUGCGCUCCUUGGUAUACCUAGGAGCAAGCCUGGGCAGAGUGUCUCGAAUAACUCUGCUCCUCAAAUGAGCAAAAAAAAUGGACGGGGAGCCAGGAACCCUGGGCUUGCACGCGGUGUGGUACGAACACAAGCGUGCCUUAAAUGGAUCAGCUGGAUUUCAGUAGAGUUGUUAAGUAACAUUGAAAACUCUCGCAAGACGAAAUCUGCUCUCUAACCCGUCGUAUAGCAAUAUACACAUAUAUUCAUGUCUUUGGCCUCAAAUCAGGUAGGGACUA